rnacentral:lncRNA from 1 species
UAAAGUAUUGAAACAUAGUUAUAGCAAUUUGCUCAAAACAUGAACGACAUAUUGUAUAUGAUGUUCAAACAUCUGAAAAGUAAAAACAUUUAACAAGAAUCACUUCCAUUGUGACUAGAAACAACAAAAAAAAUGACCAAACAACAACAUCCAUGCUUCAAGGUCUUCAACGAUUCCUAAACAGCAUGAAAUAUGACUAGAACAAUGUCCACGACACAGCAGCUAAGAAUUCCAACAGUAGAAUGUCUUCAAUAGUAGUGAGAACUGCCCUGUUCUACUUCUCCUGUUCUAACCUACAAAAUAUAGAAAUAUGGUUUAAUGUGUAACAUGUAAAUGGAACUUAUUUGAGUAAUUCGGCUUCCAAAAAGAAAAAAGAAAAAUAGCAGCAACCAUGAGUUAAACAUCAUCCAAAAAUAGCAGCAAAAGUAAUUCGAAGAACAUCCAACUUUUACCUCAUUUACUUCUCCUAUUCUAACCUACAAAAUAGAGAAAACAUGGUUUAACUUUUAACUUGUAAAUAGAAAGGCGAUUUAAAAAUUACAUCAGAUUCAAAUAUUAUACCGGCAAUUUUUCAGGAUGUGAUGAUGUAGUUGAUUGCCAAAAGACUGGUUCAUUUAGGUCAGUUUCUCUCUCCACAUAGCUAAACUUGCAAGUUCUCUUGUUGUGACCAGGCUUAUGACAAAUGCUACAUUCAAUAGUUGUUUGCUUCCUUUUCAUCCUUGUUCUACUCGCUCCAGCUUCCCCAAAUUCCUUUCUCCUCAAUUUUUGCUUUCUUCCUCUCUUUUGUUUCACAUUCUUUGGAGGCAAAGGAGGAAUCUUACUAGAUUUAGGCCACAAUUGUUAUCCAUUAAUUGGAAGAAUAGCAUGUUCAUAAAUUCUCCUAUAUGUUUCCACCAUGUAACAGUCAUCGACGUAGUUAAUUACCUCAUCAUUUUUAGCCCAAAUGGCCGAAAUGGCAUGCUUGCAAGGAUAUCCGGUUAUAGUCCACUUCCUACAACUACAUGUUCUGUUAUGUAGGUCCACUUCCCAAUUAUCAUCCAUGCUCUCUCCAAGGAUUUCAUAGUUCCACUUAUUUGAUUUUUGAGGAAUAAACGCAGCUGCUACAGACUCAUUUUUGUGUAAAAUAUCCUUGAUCCUAGGGCAAACAUCACCCGAAUUCCAUUUUUCUCCUUUAUCCAUGUUAGCUUGUAUCCGAGCCAUCAAUAAGUAUCUUAAUUUCUCUAACAAUGUUAUAAUGGCCUUGUCUCGGGUCUCGAGUAUCAUGCUAUUAAAGGAUUCACACAUGUUACUCAACAAGAUAUCACACUUAGCAUUUGGAUUGAAGUGAGAUCUAGACCAUUCACUUGGUGGUUUGUAUUUAACCAAGAAACAGCAUCUGCAUCUAAGUUUAAAAGGUCAGACAUGCGAUCAUGAAAGAACUUCACCGUCGUAGCCUUUGCAGCAGCCAAAAGUGCAUUCCUUAAGGAGAAACCACUAAAGAUAGCCCUCCUGAAAUUACCAUAGAGGUAUCUCACGCAGAAUCUAUGACUGACGAAUGGCAACACAUCGUUAAAUGCUUCAAGAAGACCUUCAAUAAAAAUAUCAUAUUUUUAGUAAGAAUUUCAAACAAAAAUGUUGAAGCAAGCAAAAAUUGAAUAUUUAAGCAAUCUAAUCGAAUAAACUGAAUAUAAAUGCUUCAAGAAGACCUUUUUGCUUAUCUGACAUGAAGGUCCAACCACCAUGAUCACCAAUCUCCAAAUCAACAGACAAGUAGUUCAAAAACCAUGACCAUGUAUCAUGUGUUUCCUUUUCAACAAUUGCAUAUGCUAUUGGGAAUAUGUUAUUAUUAGCAUCAAGUCCAACUGCCGCUAACAAUUGAGUUCCAUACAUCGGGCUCUUUAACCAAUAACCAUCUACACCAACUAUCUUUCUACAACCGGGAUUGAAGCCUUCCUUACAAGCAGCAAAGCAUAUAUAAAUUCUCUGAAAUAUAUAUGGCUUGUUAGCUAUUUCAUUUUCUGUUAAUUUCACAUGAAUCGAACUACCUGGAUUUGUCCUUUCAAGCUCAUCGAUGUAGUCCCACAACAUAGCAAAUUGAUCUUUAGUAUCACCAUCAAGCAAUGCAAUGGCCUUUCUUUUAGCCCUUCUAGCUUGAGGUAAACUAACAUGAGCUUUAAGUUUCCGACUAAUUGUAUCUCUGAAUUUAGAAACAUUCAAAUCCCUGUUUGAACUGAUGGUAUCCAGAUAUCUCCUCGCAAUAAAAGAAGAUGUGAUCGUCUUAUUACAGUGAUGCCAAUUUUUACAACUAUGCUCAGGGUUGUAAGUUUUUAUUUGAAAUUCAUGUCCCUGUACGUUCUUGAUGCCAUAAUUUUCCACUCACAAGUCGGAUGUAUGCACUUACCUCUUAUUCUUAUCUUGUCAUUUUUGCGCCACUUGAUAUACUUUCCAGCUUUUAUUUCGUGAGUUUCCACAGCAUAUUUAAACUCUUUUUUGUUUUCAAAUGUAUAUGCAAGAGCAAGUACGGGAUUCUUCUCAUCAGUUUUAGGAUUGUACUUGGGAAAAUCAAAACUCUCAUAGUCUGAAUCACUAUCCAAGCUUAAAGUGUCCGAAGAAUUCACGCAAUCAGAAUCCCCUUCUUCAUUUGACAACUUCUUUUGAACCUCGGCACUAAUACGCUCUCUACCACCUUCAACACGUUGUUUUCCAGUAACUCCCUUAUCAAGCAUUGGAUUGAAAUCUGAUAUUUCAUUUUUAGAAUCAUCAAACUCAUCACAACUAGACGAGUUUGACGUUUCAGCCAGUUUCUCAGUAAUUCCAAUAGUUUGUUGCAUAUUUUGAAUGUUGAUUGUUUGACCUUCAUUAUCAGGUUCAAUCUCUGCCAUUUCAAAGUAAUAGUCCAGAUGCUCAAAUUAUAUCUCAACUAUAUUAUCUUUGGGAACCGAUUUUGCGAUUCGGCUAGCUUCAACUUCAGUUGAUACUAGUCUCAAUAUGUUACCAAACUUACCAUAUCUGUGCCAGAAAAUCACUGAAUCAUUGACGUAACUACAAAUGUCGGCCAUCUUCCUCAACUCUGUCAUAUUAAGAUCUGUUGGUUUCACAUAGUCAAAGUAGUCGACCAUACCUCUAACAUAUUUAGUUGGUUGAUGCUUCAUCAACCCCCCGUGAUAUACCUUAAUGCUGAAACAUGAUGCCGCAAUUACAGAGUAUGUCAACAAUAAAAAACAUAUUUUUAAUAGGAGUUUUAAACCAAAAUAAUUUGAAGCGAGCAGAUAUGAAUAUAAAAGCAACUCAAAAAAUAAACAAAGAAGUUCUAAUUAAACUUCUGUAAAGGCAAGCAGAAAAAAAAUAAAAAAGCAACUUAUAAUCUAACAAGAUUUAGUUUUCCUAUGUAGAAAUAAGAUUAAAAAAAUAUAAAGUACCCAAAUUCAGCCUACUUUGAUACGAAUUAACAAACAAAAACAAGAAUCAAGGUAAAAACUUAUAAAGCAAAGAUUCUGAAAACUAGUUGGUAAAAUAGAUUCUCACCAUAAGAUGGGCUUGCUUCUAUUUCACCAUUCCUUUUGAUAUACAUGGCUGGCGAUGGAGAAUAAAGAUCGACAAUGGCAAAGUUUUGAUUUUAGAAGAAUGAUUUUGGCGCCAAAGCAAAGAGAGGUAAUUGGAAGAACGGUGUUGGCGCCAAAGCAAAGAGAAGGAAUUAGGGAUUUUCCCUUCACCCGCGUAUAUGUUUUCAGUUUUUAGUUUAACAGUGUUUAUUUUAACUCUAUAUUUGUCCACUUUUAUAAAGAUAAGGGAUAUUUUAUAUUUAGUGAUAUAGAUAAGGGAUAAAAAUACUCUUAUAGGCAUAUUUAAGCGACUACCUAAGUCUUUU